rnacentral:tRNA from 1 species
AGCUUGCUUCUAUCGAGCCGUUUUAGAAACAUCAGUGGCCAACGAUCGUCAGGAUUGUUGAGCUGCAUUGGCGGGAUUUCGCCGUCUUCGUUUCUCUUUCUUCGCGGACGAACACGCGCUGGGCCUGCAUGACGCAGGGUCCCUGGUCCUUAACGGGAUAUGCGUUAGGGGCUUGUAGCUCAGUUGGUUAGAGCGCGCGCUUGAUAAGCGUGAGGUCGGAAGUUCAAGUCUUCCCAGGCCCACCACACUCAUCGGGUAAGCAUUCGUCUUCUGGUUACGGGGCCAUAGCUCAGCUGGGAGAGCGCGUGCUUUGCAAGCAUGAGGUCGUCGGUUCGAUCCCGUCUGGCUCCACCAGAUGGUUUGAUCACCGAGGCUGUGUUUGCAGGUACUCAACCGUCGUCCGCGAAACAUCACUUCGCAUCUGCUAGUCUGGAUAGACAGCAGGUUGCGUGAUUUCUGACAUCGUAAAGAGGAGAUCGAUCCGAGUUGGAUCGGGCAGCAAGCAAUUGCUGCGCGAUACUUCAUUAUCUCCGGAUCAUUUCGGCGCUCGCGCGUCUUUCAAUGCAGCUCACAAGGCUGCGUCUGAAGGGAGUGCGGGUUGUAAAUGAUCCUUUUAGCGAAGCUUGACCGCCUCGCUAUCGGAACGAUCUUACGAAGCAAGCUGGUCUUUCUAAUCAUUGUCCGGCUGUACGUAGCGUUCAUCGAGGGCGCGUGCCGCAAGGCAAUCGUACAGACAACAUUCUGCCGAGUGUGUGGACAUUGAUAAUGAGAGC